rnacentral:lncRNA from 1 species
AUGCGGGAGGCCACCCUCCUCUCGUCCCCAAGGUUUUAUUCCUUUCCUCCGCGGCAUUGUCCCCGCACCCGGUCUAAGCCCCAUCGCGGCUUUGCUCGGCCUCGCCAGGCAGCGGCCGCGGGGCGGUGCGGGGUGGUGCGGAGCGAUGCGGGAUGGUGCGGAGCCCACGCGCGGCGGGGCGGCCCCGGGUGCGCCGCUCUCCGCCUGCCCGCUUCUGGCUGUUUCUCGCAGCGUGAUGUUUUUUAUUUAUUUAUUUAUUUUUAUUUAUUUUUUUCCCCUUUUUUUCCCCUGCCCGGUAGGCUGCGGCAGGUGAAUGAUGAGCCCCCCGGCUCCCGGUUUAUGAGCCGUGAGAUUGGAACCGCGCGGGGACAGCCUCGGCGAGGCGAGGCGAGGGGCUCCGGGGGGUGGGAGCGCGCCCCCACGCGUGUCCCCGGCCGCCUGCCCCACGCCGCGCGGGUGCCCCCCGCCGCCUGCUGCGCGCCCCCGCCGCCUGCUGCGCGCCCCCCCCGCGGGCCGGGCUGCGCGCCCCCCAGUCCCCCCAGCCCAUCCCACCUACCCGUGGGGCGUCCCGCGUGGGAAGGCGCGGGUGGGAGCCGUGCCGCAGCGAGGGGGCCGGGGCCCGUCCCUGAAGGGCCAGGGCAGAGGCUGCCCUCGGAGCCCGCGGGGCUGCACCCCCUCCAAAAAAAAACCCCACCCCAAAUCUGGCUCUGUCCCGGCCAGGCGCCCACGCGUGGCGUGGCGUGGGGCGGCCGCGGGGGUAACCCCCAGGAGGAGUGUUUUCGGGGCUUUCUCGUGAGUGGCUGCCUCGCUCCGUGGCUGACCCAAAGCCCCAGGCUAACGCUUCGCCCCUCUCCUUUCCUCCCUCCCAAAUCCUCCCCCCACCCCAAUAAUCCCAAUCUGCCUCUUUNNNNNNNNNNNNNNNNNNNNNNNNNAAAAAAGCCGCAAACGCACCGUGUUUCCAACCUGGAGUUAAAGUCGGUGCUAAUCCGGGCCAGCUCCUGCCCCUGUUGGGAAGGCAGGGAGGGAGCGUGUAACAUAUGGGUUGUAGGGGGAAAAACCAAAGCAAGCCCCCAAAAUAAACAAACAAACCAGAACCUCGCGCACAAUCACGGUGAAGUCAAAUUCCUUCCUACACACCCACAACUUUAG